rnacentral:lncRNA from 1 species
AAUGGGCAAUGUUUGUAUAUUAUGAGACUAUUGAUAUAUGAAACUGACAUUAUUAUUAUUAUUUUUAUUUAGAUUGGAGACACAUUGGACGCCUGGCAAAAAUUCCUUUCUGUUUAUGAUUUGGUAAUGGCUUGGUGCGAAAGCAAAACAAAAUAUUUAGAAGAUCCAAUUAAUUUAAGUUCAUUAGAAGCUGCAAAACAAAAAUCCCAUGAAUUUUCGGUAAUUUAUCAUUACAACUAAAUAUUGUAUUUUAAAUUCAACAUAACAUAGAUUUAAUCACGUAGGUAUUGUAACACUUGUUUACAGGUUGCUGUGAAAUCAUGCAAACAACAAACCAAAAACCUAGCUGAAAUGAGCAAAGAAUUGGAUAUUAUUGCCUUAUCAACUGAUGUUGGACAGCUGCCUGAAAAAUUAGAAGAAGCUAAUAAUGCCAAAAAUGAUGUUGAAGGAAAACUUUCAGAAAAGGUAAAUCAUAUUACUUAAAACAUUAUUAAAUAAUAAUUUGUUCAAAAUCUUUGAAUAAAAUAUAUUAUAAUAAAUUACAAUUGAUUAAAAUUAUGAAGAAUGCACUACUGCAUGAGACAUGUGAAGAAUGGGAGCAAUUUGAACGGAAAUUAAAAGAUGUUAAAUCAUUUAUUGACAAGUCUCAAAGUGCCAUAGAAUCUACUACUAAUAAAAAACGAACAUUACGUGAACAACAUGAUCUAAGAGAAAAAAUGUUGGCAGAUAUUACAAUACAAAGAAAAAAGAUUACAUUGUCUACUGAAAAAUUACAGGUUAGAUAAUGUGUAAAAUUGUCUGUUUAAAUAUGCCAUUACCUGGAUUUUUGAAUCUUAAAAAGUGGUGUACAGAAAUAAAGCAUUAAAUUAUUUUUUUGGUAAUAGUUGUAUUCUAUGAACUUGACACAAUAUAGUGAUGAAUUAUUUUAAAAUUUAAAUGUCAUAAUAAAUUUAAAACUUAAGUUGGAAUUCCUAAUAAAAACCUUUUAAAUGAAGAAAUUUGAAAAAUAAAAUAAAAAUAUAAUUAUUCAAUUUAUAUUUGUGAAAUAUGAUUGAAGUUCGGUUACAUGUGUUUUAUAAUUUUGUAAUUUUUACAAUUUUUAUCAAAAUCAAUCUUAAAAUUAAGAAAAUAAAAUAACUACAUUACAAUCAACUUUUUUAUUACUACGUACAACUUAUAAUGAACUUCGUGUUAAAUUUCAAGUGUUUCUGUGUGCAAACCUAUGCGUUUGGGUGUUUAAUGCUAAACUAGUUUUAUUAAUGGUAAUCAAAGAAACAAUUGUUAAAAUUGUUUUUCGUAUCUUUGGUUUACCAUUGUAUUAUGUCACCCAUUUACUUAGUUAACUUAUUAUAUUUUGAACAUGCACAAUUCAUAUUUAAAUGAUUUAAAAAUUCAUAUUAAAUUCUAAAAACAAUACUUUUUGGCGACAUAUUAUGGUAUGCAAAAUACUAAUACACACCUACAAUUAACGUAUAACAAAGCCAUUCAUUAUUGUAAGACUUCUUAGCUCUGCACACAAUUUAAAAAUAUUUAAAUAUUUUCCGUUUUUACAACUUAUUUGAGUACUCAAUUUAAAUAAAUCAGAUUUUCAAAUGUAGUUUAAUUGAAUAAAAAUCAGAUACUUAGUAUUAAAAUAAUACUUUAUACAAGUUCUAUUUAUGUAUCUAUAGUGUAAAUGUAGCUAUUUAAAAAUAUAAAAAUAAAAAAAUGGUUACAUUACUAUAAUCUCAGUAGUUAAAAAUAUUAAUAAGUUUUUAAAAGUACUACACUUUCUUUAUAUUGUAGGUUUUUUAACGUUUAAACUUCAGUAUUUUAAUUAAAUUUUGUAAUAAAAUAACCGUUAUUCAGUGUUCAAUUUUAAAAAUAGCAUUUUUUAAUUCAAAUUCAGACUUUAACGUAAUCUUAAAUUUUUCUGAGUGGGUAAUUCUUAUAGAAUAAAGAUACCUCUUGCAUCAGUUGCCUAAAAGCCAAAGUCAACCAGUAAUGGGUAAAAUUGGUGUGAACAAUUUAAUACACAAUGUAAAAUUUAUUUAUUGUUUUAUAUAAAAUAUUAAUUAAAAAUGUUUUAAUCUAAAAGUGUUUUAUUUUAUUAUUUAUUUUAGAUACAUUUCCGAGCUGGUUUUGGGGGCAGUGAAAACAUAGAACAUUUAUCUGAAGACAAUUUGUCUCAUCUAGAUAACUUAUAUAAAAUUGUAGAAGAACAGGCUCAUAAUUUAGAAGAUAGUCUUUCACAGCUCGAUAGAUAUCAACAAGUAAAUGCGUACUAAUGAUUUGGCAUACAACAAUAGUACCUAACUCAUAUUUGUAUUACAGGAAAUCCAACAUCUUCGGCAAAAAGUCAUAACUGCCGAGCAACAAUUAAGACUCACUCAGAGUCCAACAUAUUUACCUCAUGAUAGACAAAAAGCUCUACUAGAACAAAAUGUAAGUUUUCAUACUAAUUUUAAUUUAAGAGGUAGUUUAUAAAAAAAUUAAACAUUUCUAAAUGUUGGUCUUAUACAGUAUAUUAUAUGCUGAAUUAUACAAUUUUAAUGUAAAAUUGGCUUUCAAAAUUUAUUUGUAGAUAAUCUUAUCAGUUUAAUUUUAAUAAUUGUAGUUGGGAAGAAGGAAUUAAAGGAAAUUAGUGAGAAUAUAUUUUAUUUAUACAUUAAUUACUUAUUAAACAAUUUAAACAUUUAAAUUAUAAUUUGUAAGCAAUUAGUUGUUAUAAAAUUUAAAAUAUGUACUAAGUAAGAUAGAAUAUUAUAUAAUUUGUAAGACAAUUUCGAUGUAUACAUUAAAAAGAUACUCUUCUGAAUGAAAACAUUAAAAAAAAAACCGUUCCAUUGAUUGGAACAUUGCAGGCGUUUCAAGAACAAACACGAGUGCUGCAAAGCAAGAUUAAUUCAAGGACCGAACGAAUCAAACUGAUCAUUCAACGAGGCUCCCCGAUAUCUGACCCAUUAUUAAAUUAACUAGACAUUUAAUUGUAUUUAUUUAACUUCAUAUUCAUUCCAAAAUUCUAUUUAAGCUAUUAAAAAAAAAAAAUUCCAAAAUAAAAAUUAGUUUCUAAAGAAAUUUAUUCGGUCAUGCAGGACGUUCGAAACGCACUGGAAUCAUAUCGGCAUCGUUUGGAUUGCACUGUGAAUGCUGUACGAACGCAUAUCAAUCAUUUUAUUGGUUCCAAUCCUUUGUUGGCAUCUACGUCAUGUACAGAUCCCUUAAAUAAUCUUAAAAAUCUUCAAAAACAAACUUAUGUUAGAAAACCCCGAAUAGUUCUAAAUUCAACUGAACCAAAUCAACAAUCAAUAUUCAAAUCACGAUCACCUUCUCCAUUUUGGAUAAAAGGACAAACUUCUUUGUAUUCUGAAGUUGUCAAAUCUGGUUUUGUAUCAAGAAAUAAUAGUAGAUGCAUGAGCCCCAAAUCAAAAUCAAUAGAAGGACAUAUAAGUCGAAAAUCACAUUUUAAUUUACUUAAAACACCAUUUGUGAGAGAUAGAAGUAAAUCACCUAAAGAUAAGUGUCAAAAGAAUGAUUUUGAAAAAAGUAAAUUGUUUUCCGUGCCACCAAAAACAAUAUUGUUAUCUACCAAUGGAUCAGCAGUUCCAUCUAAAGAAUUCAAAGAUAACUUAAAUAUUAGUACACCUAAUUCACAAAAUAUUAAAAGGCGAUCCCGGUCUAGACGGAAUCAGAAGUCAAAAGACCAUUUCAAAAAUGAAUCCGUUACUGACAAAGUAGUAUUAAAAACUUCUAAAUUUGAAAACAUUAUAAUUAAUCAAAGUAUAAAUACAAAUUUAUCAAUAAAACCGAAAAUUAUUGUGUCAGAUACAAAAAAUCAACAUAAUUGUUGUACAAAUGCUGAAUUUCAAAAUGCACAUCAACCAUUAGCAAAGCCUGAUGUAGAAACCUGUACCCAAACCGACACAGUAGUAGAUGAUUUGUAUGCUAUUUUAAAUCAGAAACUUUUAAAUUCUGACACUGUAAUACCUUUAAACACUAUUGGCACCCUUUCUAAAGCUCAGUUACCCUUAGCUAAUGUGUCUGAUACUGAAUAUUCAAACUGUUGCUUUGAUUUAAAUGAACAACUGAAGGGAAUAUUUGGUUCAGUUGACCAGAAACACUACAAACAUCAUAUUUUUGAUCGACCACGUUCCAAAUCUGACACUCGCGAUCUCAAUAAACUCACACAGAUAUUUAAUAGCCAAAAUACUAAUGGAAAAUACACGUGCUGUUUCGAACGUAGUGCUGAAUCAGUAAAAAAUAUUUCCAGUAGGGACUUUACUUCCGGUAGACGUUCUUUUGAUAAAAUUUUAUCCCCUUUUGGAAAUGUACAAAUGGCAAGUUCAGAUGGAACUAACAAUGAAAGCAAAAAAACCGUAAGAUUAAGUGUGGAAAUUUAAUGUUUUAUAAUUGUAUUGUUUUUAAAAGUAAAUUUAAUGUUUUUUGUGAUUUGAUUAAUAUUUGAUUAGUAUUUUGUUACUUAAUUUGUUAAAAACAUUUUUGGAUUUAUUAUAUUUGUCAUGUACAGAGAAAUUUUUAAAUUUUUGAUUAUAAUUCAAUAGGAAUGAUAGGUACCUAUUCUAAAGAAUUGAUUUUAAAUAUUAUAAAAAGAGUACAGAGAAAACAAAUAAAUAUAUUGUAGACCUAUUUUUAGUCAAAUUCUGAAACUUUAUCUCUAUUCAAAGUAAUUUUUAGAAUACAAUGAUAAAAAAAUAAUAAAUCUUAAAAUGUAUCUACAAAAGUUUAAUUAAAACAAAUCGCACUAACAAUAAUUAUUAUUGUAAAUGUGUUUGUAGUGUAUCAUAUAACAACUAACACAUGAUGGGUGAUUCAAUAAUUUGUUAUCUGUUAACAUAAUAUUAUUUGUUAUUAAGUACAGAGUUAUUGAAAAUAUUUUUUUUUCCAGAGUAUAAAAUCAAAUUUACAAGCACUGGGUGAUGAGAGUAUCCCAUUAGAAUUAGCUAUUAAACCAUUUUUAACAUAUGAUGAAGGACAUAUUGCAAUACAAGAAUUAAAUUCAACACAAACAAUGAUUUCUUCCUUAGUUAAUAGCAAUGAUAAUCAAUCAAAAACCGAAGCAAUAAAAGACCUUACAACAAAUGUUCAACAAUUUGAUAAUAUUUUAUUAGAAUUUGAAGAUGAAGAUAAAGAUGAAUUUGUAAGUUAAAAAUUAUAAACUCGCAUAAAAUUUAAUGCCAAGUUUAUAUAUAUUUUUUUUAUUAAAGGAAAAAUUAUACAAUAUAAGUAUCAAUAUCAAUAAAUUAAAAAAGAUUAUAACUCAAUUCACAAUUUAUGAAGAAAUAGAAGAAUUUAAAGUUUUAAUUAAUCAACUUAAAAUCAUAAUGAAACAAUUUGAAAAUAAAAAUAAAAUUAUUACUCAGGUAUACCAUCAGUUUGCAUUAAAUUACAUUAUAAGCAAUACCUAUAUUUCUUGUAGAAAGAGAAAUAAUUUUAAUGUAUUCAUAUUUGAAAUACACAUAAUUUUUAAUGGAAUUGUUUUUAGAUUAUAUCAAUUGUUAUAUUUAUGAGACUUGUUAAUUUAUAUACUGUUUCAAAUUAAUUUUUCAGCGAACAUUAAAUUAUACAGAUGAUACUAUAAGCUAUUAUGAAAAUUUGUUAUUAAUUUUUAAAGAUAGUGGUUUAAAAAAUGAGGUAAAUAUAUUUUUUUUAUAUAUAUUUCACAAUUCCUUUAUAAUUUUUUGUUAUAUAGGUAUUGUAAUUGUUUUAUACAUUUUUUAGAAUAAUAUAGAAGAAAACAUUUUUGAAUUAAAAAAUAAACUUCAUGAAUUGGAAAUGUACCAAGAAAAUAUUGAAUUCGAAACACGCAUUUUAAAACUAAAACAUAUAAUUGAAAAACUUGAAAUUAUAAAUUGUGAAAUUUCAACAAUGAAACAGGUAUGUUUGCACGUUUAUAAUAAUAUUAUAAUAUCACAUA